CCUUCUAGCAUGAACUACAUUGACAGGGUUGCAUAGUACUUUACAAUGGUUUUCCUUUGAUAUAGCAUCGUGUGAAUUGUAGAUGUUCAAAGGGUAAUAGUUAAUUAGAAAAAAAUGUGAAGAAUUUUUUUUUUAUAUCUAAAUAAAUGGAGAGAGAGAGAGAGAGAGAGAGAGAGAGAGAGAGAGAGAGAUUUCUUUUCUUUAUUUACAUGUAUAUCUGUUGAUUACAGUUCAGAUACUGGGUUUGUGAGUUGAAAUUAAUCAAAUGAGAGUGGUAAAAAUCCACCUUUAUAUGUAUAAUUUAGAUAUCAGGAUUUUAUCCAGGUACGUUAUUCUGGUUUGUGGAAUGCUAAUUUAUACUAAGUUAGAAUAAUCUAAGCUGUAUACCAAAGUAGGUCUUCAUGGGGCUUUACGGCUCUAUGCAUCGUAAAUAGAGAUCGGGUUCAAUGCGUCGGGUGUGGGAUUCACACAAUAUAUGCUGAGCGCGAAAGUUGAUAUAAUGUUAUACCGGUAAACAACAUUUUGAACAUGAAUCGAGAACAGGAGUUGAAUCAGUUGAUGCAGAUAUUCUGAGGAGAAUCUUCCAGUCAUUGAAAUAUAUUUCAUGAUAGUCAUGCAGAUUCAGAAGUUGUGAUGGUGUGUUGAUAGGCUGUCUUCAACUUGCCAUAUCUUAGAGUUCCAACAUGCAGGCCUGGAUUAAUGUGUAUAAAUCACUAAUGAAAAAAAGAAUGACAUUUCAAUUUAUACACACUUGCCAAGUGAAUCUGAUGAGACUGCUACAUGUAUUUGUGAGUAAAGGCACUCUGUCUUAACCGAAAAACUAUUUACAGUUUAUCACAACAAAUGGAUGGGACAGUAGAGCUGUUGCGGACAAUAUGUGAUUGUGAUGACCAAGUACUGAACAAGUGGAAGAUUAGAAGAAGGUCCAGAAUUCAAUCAUGUUUUUGAUUCUAAGGUGCACACAGCAUGGAGAUAGUCCUAUUAUUCUCCCGUUCAUCUAUGAUGGAGAAACUUGUGUAAAUGUUUAGUGUUCUCCCUAAUAAUUAAGUGCCCACAAGUCUGUAUUAAUUUAUCAGAAUAUAAAGUCCUUCACAGUACUGAUUUUAAAAUUAAUGUAGAUUGUCUCCAGAUUUUUCUGAGGAAAAGUGCAUAGUUUACAUGUGUGAAUUUUGAAUAUAUUUCAUUCUUGUCUGCAAAUGUUGCCAAAACCUGUUGUUAUUGAUGCACAGUCAUGUUAUGCAAAUGAUAGACCUUCUUAAUUACAUGUACAGAAGAUCAUGUCAACUCCUUUGUCUUAAUUGUAUACACAAUUCUAGCAUUUAUAGCAUCAUUUAUAUAGCACUUGCUAGUUUAAGAAGGAUUUUAUUUUCUAAAAGCUUUCAUUUGACAUGAUUGAUCUAAAACGGCCAAAAUUCACAAAUCUAUUUAAAUCACAACCUGACCUUAUGUCAGAAAAGUGCCACUGUGGGUUGAUAUUUUUCUCUUGGAUCUUGAAAGAAAUUCUUUAUGCAGCAGUUUCCAAAUAAAAUGUACUCUCAUGGCCAGGGUGGGACUUCACCGAGAACUUUUUAACAUUGCACAAUGCAAUAUUUGUAGAUUAGAAGUUGUUGAAGUUUCUUUAAGUUUUCUCUCACAUCUUGUUAUAAUUAUAUUUUAUAUUUUUGGUUGGGUUGCACAAUGUGCAAACAGUUCAUAAAAUGGUGAAUGACUCAGUGGUGGGCAAGCGACAGUAGCGUCCCUGUAAUAGUACCUACUUUGUGUAAUCAACUCCUUUCACACCUCUCACUUGAUGUUCCUUAAACUUUGUACAGUUGUUAGGGAUACAUUGAAGAUGUGCAUGUGCCUUUUUGAAGUGAUCAGACAUUUUUUGAAAAAUUUACAUGUAGUUGAACUUCGUCAUUUUUAAGCAUUUCUUUAAUCGACAGUACCUAUUUUGUGUAAUCAACUCCUCGUAUACCUCUAACUUGACAUUCCUCAAACUGUGUACAUUUGUUUUGAACACAUUGAAAAUGUGCAUAUGUGUUUUUCAAAGUGAUCAGACAUUUUAAAAAAAAUGUAUAUGUAGUUGAACUUAGUCAUUUUUAAGCAUUUCUUGAAUAGAUGGUAACUAUUUUGUGUAAUCAAAUCUUCAUGCACCUCUAACUUGACAUUCCUUAAACUUUGUACAGUUGUUAUGAACACAUUGAAGAUGUGCAUACAUCUUUUUGAAAAUGAUUAGACUUUUUAAAAAAAAAAAAUUAUGUGUAGUUGAACUUGGUCAUUUUUAUGCAUUUCUUGAAUAGAUGGUACCUAUUUUGUGUGAUCAACUCAUGCACAUCUAAAUUGAUAUUCCUCAAACUUUGUACAGUAGUUAUGGACACAUUGAAGAUGUGCAUGUGUCUUUUUGAAAGUGAUCAGACUUUUUUCAAAAAAAUUACAUUUAGUUGAACUUUGUCAUUUUUUAAGCAUUUCCUGAAUAGAUGGUACUUAUUUUUUUGUAAUCAACUCCUCUUACAGCAUUUAUUUGACAUUCUUCAGACCUUGAACAGCUGUUAUGGAAGCAUUGUAAAUGUGCAUGUGUCUUUUCAGAAGUGAUCAGGCAUUCUUUGAAAAAUUUACAUGUGCAUGGUGAAGUUGAACUUAGUCAUUUUUUAAGCAUGGUACUUUAUGUAACCAACUCAGCUUUUACUUAACAUUUUCCAGACCCUGUACAUUAUAGAUGUUUUAAAAACAUUGAAGAUAUUCAUGUAACAUUUUAAAAAUGCUUCUCUUUUUUUUUCUCUCUCUUUUUUGUUGUUGAAAAAUUCUACCUUUAAUUUGUCAUUUUCCCAGUAUAUGUUUCUACUGUUGUUCCUAUGAUAGAGAACAUAUUUUACAAGAACCCGGUCAUUUCUGUUUUUGAAUAAUUUUUUUUUAAUUAGUAUUUUUGAAUAUGUUAAUUACUUGAUAUGUCAUUGUUCUUGAAAUUAUAGUAAUUGAAUUGUUAUUGUGUUUUUGUUUUGUAAUGACAGUUUAUAUAGCAUCCCUUAAUUUCGAGCAGACAGUGCCAGAAGUGUGCCGCAAGUUUGCCGCAAACUGUGUGCCAGAAGUCUGCAGCAAGAGUGUGCCGCAAGUUUGCCGCAAACUGUGUGCCAGAGGAAAAAUUUGCAUACGAAAAGUAUACUUGCGGCAAAUAUGCCGCACACUGUGUGCCAGAAGUGUGCAGCAAGUGUGUGCCGCAAGUUUGCUGCAAACUGUGUGCCAGAGGAAAAUUUGCAUACGAAAAGUAUACUUGCGGCAAAUAUGCCGCACACUGUGUGCCAGAAGUGUGCAGCAAGUGUGUGCCGCAAGUUUGCUGCAAACUGUGUGCCAGAGGAAAAUUUGCAUACGAAAAGUAUACUUGCGGCAAAUAUGCUGCACACUGUGCCAGAAGUGUGCAGCAAGUGUGUGCCGCAACUGUGCCACAAACUGUGUGCCAGAGGAAAAAUUUGCAUACGAAAAGUAUACUUGCGGCAAAUGUGCCGCAACUAGUUGCGGCAAACUUGCCGCAAAUGCGCUGCAAAUUUGCAGCAACUGUGUGCCAGAGGGCUUAUAUUUUGGUA